AAGUCUGGUGCCAGCAGCCGCGGUAAUUCCAGCUCCAAUAGCGUAUAUUAAAGUUGUUGCAGUUAAAAAGCUCAUAGUUGAAUUUCGGGGUUAGUAGGUUGGUCAUGCCUCUGGUAUGUACUGGUCUCACUGAUUCCUCCUUCCUGAUGAACCGUAAUGCCAUUAAUUUGGUGUUGCGGGGAAUUUGGACUGUUACUUUGAAAAAAUUAGAGUGUUUAAAGCAGGCUAACGCUUGAAUACAUUAGCAUGGAAUAAUGAAAUAGGGCGUUCGAUCCUAUUUUGUUGGUUUCUAGGAUUGACGUAAUGAUUAAUAGGGAUAGUUGGGGGCAUUAGUAUUCAAUUGUCAGAGGUGAAAUUCUUGGAUUUAUUGAAGACUAACUACUGCGAAAGCAUUUGCCAAGGAUGUUUUCAUUAAUCAAGAACGAAAGUUAGGGGAUCGAAGACGAUCAGAUACCGUCGUAGUCUUAACCAUAAACUAUGCCGACUAGGGAUCGGAUGAUGUUAAUUUUUUAAUGACUCAUUCGGCGCCUUACGGGAAACCAAAGUGUUUGGGU
rnacentral:rRNA from 1 species